rnacentral:RNase_P_RNA from 1 species
GAAAUAAGCCAUCUUAUCGCUCUGAAUCCGCAAGGAUCGGAGAGGAAAGUCCGGGCAACACAGAGCAUCGUACUUCCUAACGGGAAGGCGCUGAUUGGGCGACGAAUCAGCGACAGACAGGGCCACAGAAAACAAACCGCCCCGAGCAAUCGGGGUCAGGGUGAAAAGGUAGGGUAAGAGCCUACCGCUCCGGCGGCGACGACGGGGGCACGGUAACCCUUACGAGUUGAAAGACCAAAUAGGCUGGUGAUUCAGGCAACUGAUGAAGGGCGGCUCGUCCGGUGCCAGCGGGUAGGUUGAUGGAGGCGACGGGCGACCGUCGUCCCAGAUAAAUGAUAAGACGUGGCCGUGAACAGAUUUCUCUGCGAAUGGUCACCGACAGAACCCGGCUUACCGGCUUAUUUUUUUU